rnacentral:rRNA from 1 species
CGCGUAGGCGGUUUGCAUAGUCAGACGUGAAAUUCCUGGGCUUAACCUGGGGGCUGCGUUUGAUACAUGCAGGCUUGAGUUCGGAAGAGGGUCGUGGAAUUCCCAGUGUAGAGGUGAAAUUCGUAGAUAUUGGGAAGAACACCGGUGGCGAAGGCGGCGACCUGGUCCGAUACUGACGCUGAGGCGCGAAAGCGUGGGGAGCAAACAGGAUUAGAUACCCUGGUAGUCCACGCCGUAAACGAUGUGCGCUGGAUGUUGGGUGACAUAGUCAUUCAGUGUCGUAGCAAACGCGAUAAGCGCACCGCCUGGGGAGUACGGCCGCAAGGUUGAA